GGAUAGCCUUUCGAAAGAAAGAUUAAUACCUGAUGGUAUGAUGAGAUUGCAUGAUAGCAUCAUUAAAGAUUUAUCGGUGUACGAUGGGGAUGCGUUCCAUUAGGUAGUAGGCGGGGUAACGGCCCACCUAGCCGACGAUGGAUAGGGGUUCUGAGAGGAAGGUCCCCCACAUUGGAACUGAGACACGGUCCAAACUCCUACGGGAGGCAGCAGUGAGGAAUAUUGGUCAAUGGACGAGAGUCUGAACCAGCCAAGUAGCGUGAAGGAUGAAGGUCCUACGGAUUGUAAACUUCUUUUAUAAGGGAAUAAAACCUCCCACGUGUGGGAGCUUGUAUGUACCUUAUGAAUAAGCAUCGGCUAACUCCGUGCCAGCAGCCGCGGUAAUACGGAGGAUGCGAGCGUUAUCCGGAUUUAUUGGGUUUAAAGGGAGCGCAGACGGGUCGUUAAGUC
rnacentral:rRNA from 1 species